UUGGCCCCGCCGUUACCAUGGUUACACAGGCACUAUUAUGGUCCUGUGUGUAUGUGUGACAUGACUCAUCGUGUACAUUCUGUUAUCGUCCUAUAUGAAUCUCAACAUGAACCUCGAAUCUCCUUCCUGUCAUGUUUUAAUAUAUGAUAAACCAUUUCAUCAGCUUUGCUGUUACAGGUCAGUACAGUGAGAGACAAUGACACACGGCAUUGAAUUCUACUUUUUAUUGGUGGGGCCACCCAUACACACAGUGCUGUAAGUCUGCUAAAUGGCAUAUAAUAUUACAUAGGAUCUGACUUACAUAAGGAUCUGACUUAUGGUUCUAAGAAAAUUGCAUAACUAAAAUUGUCAAAAUGUUGGUAUUUUUCUCUCCCCCAAAGGAUCUUCCCCAGAGAAUACCUACUGCAACAUGUUCACCUGUACUCACUGGCUGACCUGCAACAGGUGAUAGAUGGGAAACUUGCUCCCUUCCUCUCCAAGGUGAUGAAGUUUGCCAGUUCCCACGUCUACAGCUGCAGCCAGUGCAGAGAGAAGGGCUUCAUCUGUGAGAUGUGUCAGAAUGGACAGGUCAUCUACCCCUUCCAGGAGAGUGCUACGAAGAGAUGUGAUGUCUGCGGAGCGGUGUUCCCAGAGUGUGUCGUCA